UACGUAGGGGGCAAGCGUUGUCCGGAUUUAUUGAGCGUAAAGAGCGUGUAGGCGGCCAGAUAGGUCCGUUGUGAAAACUCGAGGCUCAACCUGGAGACGCCACCCGAUACUGCCGUGGCUAGAGUCCGGUAGAGGAGCGUAGAAUUCCUGGUGUAGCGGUGAAAUGCGCAGAUAUCAGGAGGAAUACCAGCGGCGAAGGCGGCGCUCUGGGCCGGUACUGACGCUGAGGAGCGAAAGCGUGGGGAGCAAACAGG
rnacentral:rRNA from 1 species